UACGUAGGGGGCAAGCGUUGUCCGGAAUCAUUGGGCGUAAAGAGCGUGUAGGCGGCCAGAAAAGUCCGCUGUGAAAACUCGAGGCUCAACUUCGAGCUGUCGGUGGAAACUUUCUGGCUAGAGUCCGGAAGAGGAGAAUGGAAUUCCUGGUAUAGCGGUGAAAUGCGCAGAUAUCAGGAAGAACACCCGUGGCGAAGGCGGUUCUCUGGGACGGUACUGACGCUGAGACGCGAAAGCGUGGGGAGCGAACAGG
rnacentral:rRNA from 1 species